rnacentral:rRNA from 1 species
UACGAAGGGGGCUAGCGUUGUUCGGAAUUACUGGGCGUAAAGCGCACGUAGGCGGAUAUUUAAGUCAGGGGUGAAAUCCCAGAGCUCAACUCUGGAACUGCCUUUGAUACUGGGUAUCUUGAGUAUGGAAGAGGUAAGUGGAAUUCCGAGUGUAGAGGUGAAAUUCGUAGAUAUUCGGAGGAACACCAGUGGCGAAGGCGGCUUACUGGUCCAUUACUGACGCUGAGGUGACGAAAGGCGUGGGGAGCAAACAGG